rnacentral:rRNA from 1 species
GAUGAACGCUGGCGGCGUGCCUAAUACAUGCAAGUCGAACGAGUGGCGGACGGGUGAGUAAUGUCUGGGAAACUGCCCGAUGGAGGGGGAUAACUACUGGAAACGGUAGCUAAUACCGCCUACCAUCGGCUGUGCCCAUAUGGGAUUAGCUAGUAGGUGGGGUAAUGGCUCACCUAGGCGACGAUCCCUAGCUGGUCUGAGAGGUUGACCCGCAACACUGGAGCUGGGACAAGGGCCAGACUCCGACGGGAGGCAGCAGUGGGGAAUAGUGCACAAUGGGCGCAAGACGGAUGCAGCCAUGGCGCGGGUAUGAAGAAGGCCGUCGGGUUGUAAAGUAAUUUCAGCGGGGAGGAGUUACACGCAGAAUAAGCACCGGCUAACUACGUGCCAGCAGCCGCGGUAAUAC